AACUAACUAGGAUUCCCUCAGUAGCUGCGAGCGAACAGGGAUAAGCCCAGCACCGAAUCCCGCGGCCGAUACCGGACGCCGGGAAAUGUGGUGUUCGGGAGGGUCCAUUAUCCCGAGAUUAUGCGGCGCGUCCAAGUCCUUCUUGAACGGGGCCACAGCCCAUAGAGGGUGCCAGGCCCGUAGCGACCGCCGCUGAUCGCGGGAGGAUCUCUCCUCAGAGUCGGGUUGCUUGAGAGUGCAGCCCUAAGUGGGUGGUAAACUCCAUCUAAGGCUAAAUAUGACCACGAGACCGAUAGCGAACAAGUACCGUGAGGGAAAGUUGAAAAGCACUUUGAAGAGAGAGUUCAAGAGUACGUGAAACCGUUUAGGGGUAAACCUGAGAAACCCGAAAGGUCGAAGGGAGAAAUUCAUUCGCGUUUCGACGCAGGCGUCGGACGGUCGUGCGACGGGAAGCGUUCGCGUUUUCCGCGCCCUCCGUUCGCUACGAACCGGCGUCGAACGCGUGCACUUUUCUCCUGGUAGGACGUCGCGAUCCGUUGGGUGUCGGUCUACGGCUCGCGGUGGAGCCCGUUCGUUUCGCCUUAAAAACGUACGAACGGACCCGCGUGUCCCGGCCGACUCGCUCGACGGUAUACGAAAGGUUUAAGGCCGCUCUCGGAGCGUUCGACUCGCGGCAAGCGCGCCAGAUGCGUCGGCCAUCGGACCCGGUGCCGAUUCUGACCUCUGGUGACUGUUGGCCGCGAUGUUCUCGAACAGACC
rnacentral:rRNA from 1 species